GCUGGCGACCGGCGCACGGGUGAGUAACACGUAUCCAACCUACCCUUUACUCGGGGAUAGCCUUUCGAAAGAAAGAUUAAUACCCGAUAGCAUAAUGAUUCCGCACGGUUUCAUUAUUAAAGGAUUCCGGUAAAGGAUGGGGGAUGCGUUCCAUUAGGUUGUUGGUGGGGUAACGGCCCACCAAGCCUUCGAUGGAUAGGGGUUCUGAGAGGAAGGUCCCCCACAUUGGAACUGAGACACGGUCCAAACUCCUACGGGAGGCAGCAUG
rnacentral:rRNA from 1 species